GCUCGCUCGCCCCGCCGGCAGGCGGUACCCAGUCAGGGAGGAGAGAUAUAGCAAGGUAGGUGGAGAGCUUAAGUGAACUCCUGGUGCAAGAUGGUAUCUUGGAAAAGGUGCUUUGCCUCUUAAAGGGGCAGCGGCGCCUUUUUUUGACCACGCCGCCGCCCGCCGCGGAAUACCGGUGUCUGCUGCUGGGAGUGCCUGGGGGAACCCGGCGAGCCCCUCAGCCUGGUUCCUUCGUGUCCCGAAAUGACUCAGCUGUAGUAAAUCUGCAACACAACGUG
rnacentral:lncRNA from 1 species